GGAACCCUUCUAUAAUGUAUGCUUUAAUGGAUGAAAUGCAUACAUGAAAAGCAUGAUUUAAUGGUUACGUUUUAUGAAACAUUUUAUGAGUAAAUUAGAUUUACACUUUAUGAUUAUCAUGCUUUACUGAGAAUAUUCUGGAAUACCAUACUUUAUCGAAUUAUUGUUCUUCGUAGUAUAUAUGAUGGAUGACUAUAUACUAUUUAUGAACAUGUUUUCACACUUCUUUAUAGUAUAUAUGAUGGAUGACUAUAUACUAUGAAGAUGUUUUUGAGAUAUAUGUACUUAUGUUGGAAAUAUUAUAUUCAAUGUUUUGUGCGUAUCUAGUGGUCAUUGUUCUGGCUUUAGGCUGAGGGAGAUAUAUGUAGAUGGCUUCGGGCCAAGGGAGAUAUAUGUAGAUGGCUUUGGGCCGAAAGAGAUAUAUGUAGAUGGCAUCGUGCUGAGAGAUAUAUGCACUGGCUUCAGACCGAGAAAUAUAGUACCUAUGGGCGAUUUGAUACCACUAGUUAGCACAUUAUAUACGAGAUAUGUUUUAUGAAGGUUUUUGGAAAACCUACUACAUAUUAUGCUAUUGAGUUUUUAUAAAACUUUGGGGGUUAGUAUGUUGAUAAUUGUUUCAGUAUUAUAUAUAUAUAUAUAUCAACUUGGUCCACUCAUGUUUUUUUAGCGCCCUCUCAGGACUUAGAAUCGAGGCGUAUAAUCCCGGUGUCAAGGCACU
rnacentral:lncRNA from 1 species